rnacentral:rRNA from 1 species
GAUGAACGCUCGCUACAGGCUUAACACAUGCAAGUCGAGGGGAAACGACGUCGAAAGCUUGCUUUUGAUGGGCGUCGACCGGCGCACGGGUGAGUAACGCGUAUCCAACCUGCCCAUCACUUGGGGAUAACCUUGCGAAAGUAAGACUAAUACCCAAUGAUAUCUCUAGAAGACAUCUGAAAGAGAUUAAAGAUUUAUCGGUGAUGGUUGGGGAUGCGUCUGAUUAGCUUGUUGGCGGGGUAACGGCCCACCAAGGCAACGAUCAGUAGGGGUUCUGAGAGGAAGGUCCCCCACAUUGGAACUGAGACACGGUCCAAACUCCUACGGGAGGCAGCAGUGAGGAAUAUUGGUCAAUGGGCGAGAGCCUGAACCAGCCAAGUAGCGUGCAGGAAGACGGCCCUAUGGGUUGUAAACUGCUUUUAUAAGGGAAUAAAGUGAGAGUCGUGACUCUUUUUGUAUGUACCUUAUGAAUAAGGACCGGCUAAUUCCGUG